rnacentral:rRNA from 1 species
CCUACGGGAGGCUGCAGUGGGGAAUCUUGCGCAAUGGGCGGAAGCCUGACGCAGCGACGCCGCGUGCGGGACGAAGGCCUUCGGGUCGUAAACCGCUUUCAGCAGGGACGAGGCCCUCACGGUGACGGUACCUGCAGAAGAAGCCCCGGCUAACUACGUGCCAGCAGCCGCGGUAAUACGUAGGGGGCGAGCGUUAUCCGGAUUCAUUGGGCGUAAAGCGCUCGUAGGCGGUAUGUCAAGUCAAGGGUGAAAUCCCCGCGCUCAACGUGGGAACUGCCUUUGAAACUGGCAAACUGGAGUGUGUGAGAGGAUAGUGGAAUUCCAGGUGUAGGAGUGAAAUCCGUAGAUAUCUGGAGGAACAUCAGUGGCGAAGGCGACUAUCUGGCACAUAACUGACGCUGAGGAGCGAAAGCGUGGGUAGCAAACAGGAUUAGAUACCCCUGUAGUC